rnacentral:lncRNA from 1 species
GUGUGUGUGUGUUUGUGAAGGUAGAAUACUUCUUUUGUACAGCUGAUGUUCAAGUCAUUUUACUAAGAGGUCUGGCUGGAGACCAUAGUAUCGAGUGUGUCUGCGUGUGUCUGUGUGUGUAGAGCUUUGUGAAGGUAGAAGAGUUGAUACUGAGGGCUUUACAUUUAGAAUUUUGCAAUUUUGGCAAAAACAAAAAAACCAAAAAUCCCAGAUAGACAAAAAAUAUAUAUAUAUAGUCCCACCUGAUGCACAGCAGGUCGGCGUUUCUGAAGCUAUAAGAGUUUGUGGUCGCUGUUGCUGAACUCUGAGACAACUCUAACAGAUGUCUCAGAGCCUGAGAUGUCUCGUGGCCGGCCCGGAGCGCCCCUGGCCGCUU